AGAAAAUCAAACCUACUUUUGGCCAGUUUUCUCGCCCUCGCCUUGGAUCUCAUCUUGUCCGCUUGUAGAUUCCUCUCGUCGUCCUCCGUGAGCCCAGAAGCAGCAACAACACUAUCUUCAUCUCACCAGCAUUAUCACUUAUCUCUUCCCCUCCUCCUCUUCCUCCUCCUCCUGCUCUCUCCUCACCACCUCACCUUCCCUCCGUCCCCCCUUGCCAUCCCCCUUACCCUCGUCCCCCUCCUCACCCAUGCACCCCCACCCACCCCAUUCAGCUACUGCCAGCACCUUGGAUUUUUACCCUUUUAACAGCGACAACUUGGUUUACUCCGGUGGCGGUGGACAUACAGAGGUAUGAUGAAGUCAAGGUCGUCUUAUAAUAAUACAAAUAGCCUUUUAUUAGUAGUAGUAAUUAUUAUUAUUAUCAAUAAUAAUAUUUAUUGCUAUUAUUUGUAUGUAAUACUUUGUAUUUAUAUGGCACUGUGAUUUUACCAAAACAAGCUUCCUUGUAACUAGACCUACAGAAACUCGCAUUCCGGCUGUUGACGCGGCUGAUAUCAACAUGUGCUAUGCCAAAAAGUGGUCGAAUUGCAAAGGUUAUUUUUAACUUAAUUAUUUCCCACGCAGGCAUAAAUAGGUGCACGGCUCGUGUGUAGACGCUCUACACAAGCUUUGAUUCGGUUUGGUUUGGAGCGUGUGUGUGUGUGUGUGUUUGUGUGUGUGUGUGUGUGUGUGUUUGUGAGAAAACCUCGUCGUCCUCAGGAAAAGCAGCGGCCAGCAGCUGUGUGACUCACGCACGCACGGAGUCUCCACCAUCAGAGUCUGGACCGCGGAGACGGGCAGGUUUUUCUUUCUUGCUCCAAUGUUCAUAUUUCUAACAAUAUGCAGCGGUCACUUCUUCACGCGCAGAUCACCUGAACGAAGGUGGGCUGCAGACUUUCUCACAUGACUUUUGCUUGCACCUGUUUGUUUGCUGCAGGCAGGAGGAAACCGCCUUUGCGUUACCGAGUGCAACCAGCAGCCUGAGGUUAAAGGACAGCGAGGUAAUUUCAGAUUUCUAUUUAAGACACUUGUAAUUUUUUAGUAACGUGUAGACAUUUUUCUUUUGCAUUAUUGACGUGUUAACGUUGUUUUUGCAAUUCAGUUCAUAUAUAUUUACAUAAGGCAUACUGAAUGAUAAAGAUUAUUAAUUAAUUCGAAUUUGAAAAAAUGUAAUGGUCCAUUUAUGAGUGAAACAACUAUUGUUUUUAUGUUAAUGUUUAUUAUGAGUAUUUAAUUAUAAUGUACUGAAAAAUUAAAGUUGUAUAUUUAUGUUAUUGACUCCAAUGUGCAACAACAACGAAAUAUAAAAUAAACGAGGCUUGAUAGAA